rnacentral:lncRNA from 1 species
GCUUCUUGUGCUUUUGCUUCUGCUUCUGCUUCUGCUUCUUCUACUUCUUCUGCUUCUGCUUCUUCUACUUCUUGUUCCGCUUCUUCUGCUUAUGCUUCUUCUUCUUCCUCUUCCUGUUCUUCUUUUGCUUCUUCUUCUACUACUUCUUCUACUUCUACUUCUUCUUCUUCUUCUUCUUCUUCUUCUGCUUUUUCUUCUUCUUCUUCUUCUUCUUCUUCUUCUUCUUCUUCUUCUUCUUGUCUUCUUCUUCUUCUUCUUCUUCAUCUAGUCUUCUUCCUCUACUACUUCUUCUUCCUCUUCUUCAUCACAUCAUCAUUAUCAUUUUAUUUUUAU